rnacentral:rRNA from 1 species
CCUACGGGAGGCAGCAGUGAGGAAUAUUGGUCAAUGGACGGAAGUCUGAACCAGCCAAGUAGCGUGAAGGAUGACUGCCCUCUGGGUUGUAAACUUCUUUUAUACGGGAAUAACAUGAGGUACGGGUACCUUAUUGCAUGUACCGUUAUGAAUAAGCAUCGGCUAACUCCGUGCCAGCAGCCGCGGUAAUACGGAGGAUGCGAGCGUUAUCCGGAUUUAUUGGGUUUAAAGGGAGCGUAGGUGGGAUAUUAAGUCAGCUGUGAAAGUUUGGGGCUCAACCUUAAAAUUGCAGUUGAUACUGGUUUUCUUGAGUACGGUAUAGGUGGGCGGAAUUCGUGGUGUAGCGGUGAAAUGCUUAGAUAUCACGAAGAACUCCUAUUGCGAAGGCAGCUCACUGGACCGGCACUGACACUGAUGCUCGAAAGUGCGGGUAUCAAACAGGAUUAGAUACCCGAGUAGUC